GCCUUUUGCCCUCGUUUUUGUAUCUUCUGUGUUUUUGGAUUACCACUGUCUUGCAAUAAACCAUCCUUUUCAACAUCCUGCAACUGGGUCCUCUCAUUAGCACACUGGGCUAAGCGCUGGUUCCCCACAUCCAGCAUCUCGGGUUCAAUCCCCGAGAAAAGCCUGACAGAACGACCCCAUCAACAUGGACCCAGCAGGUAGUGCCCAACAGGGAUGCAAGAAGUUGGCGCAGACGUUGAAGAAGCUGCUUCAGCGCGAGCAGGUCUUGCUGCAGCUGCAGAAGGAUCUCGACCGCCAGCAGGAGGAUCUAGCUCGUCGCCAGCAACUACUGCACCGUCGGCAACAACUGGACCAACCUCCCCCGUGGUUCCCACUCUACGAUGGCAAUCCUGGUGGCUGCAGAGGUUUUCUCCUCAAAUUCGAUCUGGAGUGCAGCCGCCGGCCCAUCACCCUCUCCUCCGACCGGUCGAGGAUUGCCUACAUGAUAAUCUUGCUUUCAGGCAAGGCCUUGACAUUGGCAACCGCUUUGUGGGAGAAGCAAGGCCCCGAGUGCUCCAGCCUCAGGGCUUUUCAGGCGGUGCUGUUGUGGGUCUACGACCGGGUUAGCAUGGACAGCUUCGAGGCCGCCAUUGCCUCUGCUCUGAAGAGAGAUGCGGCCCGUAACCCUGCUCUCCCAGUGACGGCAGCUGCCGUUCCUGAAGCCGCGCUUCCAGAGGCACCCAGCCUGGAUGCAGCAGUCCUGGACGCUCCCAGUCCGAGUGAACCUGGCAGCCCAGAGGCUGCCAGCUCGGAUGCCCCCAGUCUCAGUGCACCAGGCAGCCCGGAGGCCGCCAGUCCGGAUGCCGAAGCCCCAGAUACCGCCAGCCCGAGUGAGCCAGGCAGUCUUGAGGCCGACAGCCCGAAUGCUGCCAGCCCAAGUGAACCAGGCAGCCCGGAUGCCGACGCCCCAGAUACCGCCAGCCCGAGUGAGCCAGGUAGUCUGGAGGCCGACAGCCCGGAUGAGCCAGGCAGCCUUGAGGCCGACAGCCCGAAUGCUGCCAGCCCAAGUGAACCAGGCAGCCCGGAUGCCGACGCCCCAGAUGCCGCCAGCCCGAGUGAGCCAGGUAGUCUGGAGGCCCACAGCCCGGAUGACGAAGCCCCAGAUACCUGCAGCCCCGGUGAACCAGGCAGCCCCGAUGCCGCCACUCCCGGUGAACCAGGCAGCUCCGAUGCCUCCAGCCCCGGUGAACCAAGCAGCCCCGAUGCUGCUGCCGACCCGGACUCCGCAGCCGCCCCCGCUGCCGACCCGGACCCCGCAGCCGCCCCCGCUGCCGACCCGGACCCCGCAGCCGCCCCCGCUGUCGACCCGGACGCCGCAGUCUCCGCUGUCGACCCGGACCCCGCAGUCUCCGCUGCCGACCCGGACCCCGCAGCCUCCGCUGCCGACCCGGACGCCACAGUCUCCGCUGUCGACCCGGACCCCGCAGUCUCCGCUGUCGACCCGGACGGCGCAGUCUCCGCUGUCGACCCGGACCCCGCAGUCUCCGCUGCCGACCCGGACCCCGCUGCCGACCCACACCUCGCAGUCUCCGCUCCAGGCGCCCCUGUCCUGAGCGCCCCUGUCCUGAGCGCUCCAGUCCCAGGUGCCCCUGUCUUCCUCCCAGGCAUCUGUGUUCCAGGCGUUCCUGCCCCAGGUGCUCCUGGUCCUGUCCCAGGUGCUCCUGGUCCUGUCCCAGGUGCUCCUGGUCCUGUCCCAGGUGUCCCUAUCUCCAGUGUCCUAGGUGCUGCGACUGCUCCAGCCACUGGUCCUGCAACCGUCGCUGACCCAGCAACCCCAGCCACAGCUGGUGCUGCAACCCCGACCUCAUCCUCUGACUGCAUCUUCGCGAGCCUGGCCAAGGGGAUGAUUCUUGUUCUCGUCGGUUCCAACAAGGCCCCCAGGCGUCUGUCAGACCCUUCGCCUCAUUCUGGUCGCCCACCAGGUCGCCCACCAGACACUCUGCCCCUGCUUGGGCGCCCGCCUGGCCGCCCACCAGACACUCUGCCCCUGCUUGGCCGCCCGCCCGGCCGCCCACCAGAUACUCUGUCCUGGUUCGGUCGUCCACCCGGCCGGCCACCUGACCCUUGGUUCUUGCCCUCCGGCCUUGUCCUUAACCCCCUCCACCCACCCUUUAUGGACUUUUGGAGUUUUCUUUGGGCCGUCUGGAAGCCGACCCUUAGAGGGGGGGUUCUGUCACGACUUCGGGCAACCGUUUGUCACAUUGGCGGCCUCUGGUGGCCAAAGGACAUUAUGAACUAAUUUGUGUCCAUGUGCCUUUGUUGUCUUUGUGUGCCCUCACCUGUUCCCCAUUGUGAUUUGUGUUCUCACCUGUUCCCCAUUGUGUGCUCUCACCUGUCUUGCGUUUUUGUGAUUGUCACUUCCC
ensembl:lncRNA